rnacentral:lncRNA from 1 species
UUUAAAACUUAUGAAUUGAUUAUUUUUGGAAUUUUCUAUUUUCUAUUUUCAGACUUGAGGUUGACCACAGGUAAUUGAAACUCAGAAAGUGAAACUUUGGAGAAGGGAGGACGACUGUAUUAUCCUGCCACAAACAAAAAUAGCUCCCUGUGCGUGGACAACGAGACUUUAUUUCUGAAACGGUGUGUUCUGUUAAUGGACAGAAGGCUUUUUGGGCCUGAAAGUGCAUGACGGGUUCAUUCUUCACGAAGAGCAGCCUCUUUCAUUUGAAUGGUGGAUGGUAUUUCGCCACAGUACCUGUUGCUGUUUGCAGAACUUGAGGAGCAUCUUUACAUGAGGUUCCACGAGGCCUUGGGCCCGUCCUCUAAACGGAGCAGAAGGACUUCACUAAGCUGGGAGGCCCUGGAAGGCGACCAUGACAGCUCUGGCGCCUCUUAAGCCCUGUCAGUCCCCUGGCUCUGGAGAGGAAGCUGAGAGGGACACACCCCCGUCUAGAUGGCUCCACGGGCCACCUACACACACGAGGCACAGCUAGUUAGACGGUGGGUUUUCCUAGUCCCAUGUAACCGCACGGAGUUCUGAGAAUGUGCU